rnacentral:rRNA from 1 species
GAUGAACGCUGGCGGCGUGCCUAAUACAUGCCAGUCGAGCGAACGGACGAGAAGCUUGCUUCUCUGAUGUUAGCGGCGGACGGGUGAGUAACACGUGGAUAACCUACCUAUAAGACUGGGAUAACUUCGGGAAACCGGAGCUAAUACCGGAUGAUAUUUUGAACCGCAUGGUUCAAAAGUGAAAGACGGUCUUGCUGUCACUUAUAGAUGGAUCCGCGCUGCAUUAGCUAGUUGGUAAGGUAACGGCUUACCAAGGCAACGAUGCAUAGCCGACCUGAGAGGGUGAUCGGCCACACUGGAACUGAGACACGGUCCAGACUCCUACGGGAGGCAGCAGUAGGGAAUCUUCCGCAAUGGGCGAAAGCCUGACGGAGCAAUGCCGCGUGAGUGAUGAAGGUCUUCGGAUCGUAAAACUCUGUUAUUAGGGAAGAACAUAUGUGUAAGUAACUGUGCACAUCUUGACGGUACCUAAUCAGAAAGCCACGGCUAACUACGUG